GACGAACGCUGGCGGCGUGCCUAAUACAUGCAAGUAGAACGCUGAAGGCGGAGCUUGCUCUUCUGGAUGAGUUGCGAACGGGUGAGUAACGCGUAGGUAACCUGCCUGGUAGCGGGGGAUAACUAUUGGAAACGAUAGCUAAUACCGCAUAAGAGCAGAUGUUGCAUGACAUUUACUUAAAAGGUGCAAUUGCAUCACUACCAGUUGGACCUGCGUUGUAUUAGCUAGUUGGUGGGGUAACGGCUUACCAAGGCGACGAUACAUAGUCGACCUGAGAGGGUGAGCGGCCACACUGGGAGGGAGACACGGCCCAGACUCCUACAGGAGGCAGCAGGAGGGAAACGGGGGGAAGGGACGGAAGACUGACCGAGCAACGCCGCAUGAGUGAAGAAGGUUGUCGGAUCGUAAAGCUCUGUUGUAAGAGAAGAACGAGUGUGAGAGUGGAAAGUUCACACUGUGACGGUAACUGACCAGAAAGGGACGGCUAACUACGUG
rnacentral:rRNA from 1 species